UACGAGUGCCUCAAGCGUUAUCCGGAAUCAUUGGGCGUAAAGGGUGUGUAGGCGGUUCUGUUAGUCUUCUGUUAAACCUUCCGGCUCAACCGGAAAUCUGCAGAAGAUACGGCAGGACUUGAGGAUGGAAGAGGUCUCUGGAACUCAUGGUGUAGGGGUGAAAUCCGUUGAUAUCAUGGGGAACACCGAAUGCGAAGGCAAGAGACUGGUCCAUUCCUGACGCUGAAACACGAAAGCGUGGGUCGCGAAUGGG
rnacentral:rRNA from 1 species